rnacentral:rRNA from 1 species
UACGUAGGGGGCUAGCGUUGUCCGGAAUUAUUGGGCGUAAAGCGCGCGUAGGCGGCCGCUUAAGUCGGAUGUGAAAGCCCCUGGCUCAACUGGGGAAGUGCACCCGAAACUGAGUGGCUUGAGUACUAAAGAGGGUCGCGGAAUUCCCGGUGUAGAGGUGAAAUUCGUAGAUAUCGGGAGGAACACCGGUGGCGAAGGCGGCGACCUGGGUAGAUACUGACGCUGAGGCGCGAAAGCGUGGGGAGCAAACAGG